AUUUGGGCGAUGCCCUCCACCCAGGCAGAAUUUAGCGAAAGCUCAGGGUUUGGAACAGUGUGAGAUUUUGACCCUCAGCUGUGCAUCUUGAGUUGAAUUAAAGUAUCAUUUGGACAAAAGCCAGGUGGGAACUUAUGAACUGAAAUGCACGUCAUGCUCAGCACAUCCCAAGUCCUGCAGUACAGCUACAGAGCGAUGUAUUUGUGAGGCUGAGAUGAGGCUUGGGAGAUGGCUUCUAAUCAAACAGAGUAAGCAUCUUGACAAGCAUAUUUGCAAGCGAUGCAGAUAUGCUUGAUCGUAUAUCAGAAAACCCAGUCAAGCAGUGUCAAAACAGCCAAGUUCUGAAUCCUGGAAAGUACUGUUCCUCGCCACAGCUAUGCUGAAAGAAUCACACGAGAGCAAGCAUCAGAUUUUUGGGACAAGAAAACUCAGCUGGUAGAUUUAUGGAGAGAAUGCAGCACACUGAAAUGUGGUGAAACAUUGUAACUAUUAAAUAAAAGGUAUGUGCAGUAUAUUUUAAAAUUCACUGUAAAAGGACUAUUCAAUUGUAUUAAUAUCUCUCAAAGCUUUGCAUUUAAAACUAUGUGUUUAACAUUAAGUCAGACUUUCCAGUGCCAAAAUCAGUGACAUUGUUUCCAGAUGUAGAUUUUAUUAGUUCGUGUCUUGAAUAAUUAAGGGCUGUCAGAUCUGAGUAGACUCGUAACUGUAUCUGUAUAAAAUGUAAUUUAUUGCCAAACAAUACCAGACCUUCUGUGAAAAUCAGAAAUCACA